rnacentral:rRNA from 1 species
CCUACGGGAGGCAGCAGUAGGGAAUAUUGGUCAAUGGGCGAGAGCCUGAACCAGCCAUGCCGCGUGAAGGAAGACGGCCUUCUGGGUUGUAAACUUCUUUUAUCAGGGAACAAAACGCCCCUGCGGGGGAGAUUGAGUGUACCUGAAGAAUAAGCACCGGCUAACUCCGUGCCAGCAGCCGCGGUAAU